GAGGGUAUAGCUCAGAGGUAGAGCACAUGCUUAGCAUGCACGAGGUCCUGGGUUCAAUCCCCAGUACCUCCA
rnacentral:tRNA from 1 species